rnacentral:lncRNA from 1 species
AUGAUAAAAGAGAAACAGAAUGAAUAGUGCCAAACUGGUGUCUGGCACCUAUUCAAUGGACGAAAGUGUGGUGGAGAUGAGUUAUUGGGCUCUUUUGGGGGUGAUGGCCUCAUCAGCAACCUUCAACCACGUGUUCCAAGAGAGGGGCAUAUCUCAUCCACGUCUCUUCUUCUUCUCUCACCAGUCAUCGCCACCGCCAUCCGAUUACCGCCGCAACCCUCUCAGAUCAACACGACGGUUUACUCAGCCACCACCCUCGCUAGGGUUUCGGUGAGGUGCCGACGACGGUUGUUUCCGGCUACGUCCGUUCGUAGUGUAUGUUGAAAACCCUAGACACGUUGCAGACAUGUGGCAAGUGUGACUGACAUAAGGUAUACACGUGGCUUUCAAAAACGUGGCCCAAUAGAAGAGUACAUCACCUGCCAGAUGCUUCGUUAAGAGAGAAAUUAAUGAAGAUUAUUGGAUCCGAUUUCUUUAAAAUAGUGCCAGAGGUGAUAACCACUUUUGUUGUUGCUGCUGGGAAUUAUGCAUUCCAGGUCAAAGCACAAUUACUCCACCUGAACAAAUGUUUGCUACAGGUGAGGAGCUCAAGGCAUUGAAAAGAGAGGUGGAGAAAGAUGGCGAAAAGACAAUAAAGCGAAGGGGCGGUGAUAUCAAAACCAAUAUUUAUCAAGAUGUUUUCUAGCAAGGACAAAGAUAGUGAUAACAGGCGUUUGGAUACAUCAUAGAGUCGUUUGUCGUUCGACGAAUGCUGAGGAAACAAAGUCGUGCACGCCGACAUCGAGGAGCAAGAGGUAUUCUUUAUUGUUGUUUUAGGAUGUUUUGUAAGGAAGAAAGGGAGUUUUGAGGGGAUCAUAUGUUUGUAGAAUCAAUUAACAACUCAUUUCCUUUUACUAACAAGUGGUCCAAUUCUUAUGUUGUUUCAAAUGACCAAAAAAAUGGUGUUAAAAGCACAAUUUU